rnacentral:rRNA from 1 species
GAUGAACGCUAGCGGGAGGCUUAACACAUGCAAGUCGAGGGGUAACAUGAGGUAGCAAUACUUUGAUGACGACCAGCGCACGGGUGAGUAGCGCGUAUGUAACCUACCUUGUACAGGGGGAUAGCCCGGAGAAAUUCGGAUUAAUACCCCAUAAUGAUAUCUGAAGGCAUCUUUAGAUAUUUAAAGUUUCGACGGUACGAGAUGGGCAUGCGUGACAUUAGCUAGUUGGUAAGGUAACGGCUUACCAAGGCUGCGAUGUCUAGGGGUCCUGAGAGGGUGAUCCCCCACACGGGUACUGAGACACGGACCAGACUCCUACGGGAGGCAGCAGUGAGGAAUAUUGGUCAAUGGGCGUAAGCCUGAACCAGCCAUCCCGCGUGAAGGAAGAAGGCGCUAUGCGUCGUAAACUUCUUUUCCGGAGGAAUAAAAUUUCGUACGUGUACGGGACUGAAGGUACUCCGGGAAUAAGCAUCGGCUAACUCCGUGCCAGCCGCCGCAGUAACAC